ACGUACACUCCUACGGGAGGCAGCAGUGGGGAAUAUUGGACAAUGGGCGCAAGCCUGAUCCAGCCAUGCCGCGUGAGUGAUGAAGGCCCUAGGGUUGUAAAGCUCUUUCAGCGGUGAAGAUAAUGACGGUAACCGGAGAAGAAGCCCCGGCUAACUUCGUGCCAGCAGCCGCGGUAAUACGAAGGGGGCUAGCGUUGUUCGGAUUUACUGGGCGUAAAGCGCACGUAGGCGGACUAUUAAGUCAGGGGUGAAAUCCCGGGGCUCAACCCCGGAACUGCCUUUGAUACUGGUAGUCUUGAGUUCGAGAGAGGUGAGUGGAAUUCCGAGUGUAGAGGUGAAAUUCGUAGAUAUUCGGAGGAACACCAGUGGCGAAGGCGGCUCACUGGCUCGAUACUGACGCUGAGGUGCGAAAGCGUGGGGAGCAAACAGGAUUAGAUACCCCUGUAGUCC
rnacentral:rRNA from 1 species